CCCCCCCUUCCCCUUACCUCGCGAAGGCGAAGUACAUCAAACUGAGCACGGUGCAUGUCAGCAAAGUGAUGGUGUGCGGCCGAUAGAAGAACUCUAUCGUGAUGUCCUCGACCUGCUGCUCGUUUAUCAUUCGGAAAUGCAUCCUGUAGUUCACGUCAUCCUUGCUGAGAGUGUGGGAGCCGCCGCGGUACACUGUCGCCAUAGCUGGCCCGAGCUAGUAGCCCCUCCACCCGGACAUGCGCAGCAAGCCGCAGCAGGGGAGCGGGCGGACAUGGCUCCGGCGGAAGGUCGCGCACCGGCGGCACAGAGGACAUCCGCGAAGGGUAACGGCGGGCGAAAUGGAAACGAUAUCCGAGUGGUGAGCUUUGGUUGGUGUAAACAUUGACAGGGAGUGUCUCCGAACGGAAGAGCCCAUUCUCCAUUAUGAGAUAAGAAACAAGGCGAUGAAGCUUUCCGCAACCAGCAGACUCACAAUCAUCACUCUGACGGCCGCAUGCAGCUGGAAAAAACACAAAGAAAGAAUAUCGAUCACAAGGAGACAAGUUGCCACCACUGACCACAAGAAGCUGAGGAUGUUCAGACAAAAUGACAGUUUCAUCUGUCAGAUGGAAAGAAAAGGACAAUUAAAAUGUUCUUCAUGUUCACUUUAUUGAAAAACGUCUACUUACCACACGCAUGUUUGGAGCACGGCCUGCAGCGUAGCUCAGCAUUCCACUCAGCACAAACUAAAUCAUACCACAACACAAACAUUACUUCCACAACACAGGAAAUAAUGACGAUAUCAAGUUAUGCGAAGAAAAGGCGAAUUGAUAGAAACUAGAAUAUAUUUACCACAACACUGGGAAAGAUGUGGAACAUAUUUUGUGUCAGAUAAAACAUAACACCAAGACUGACCACGGAAACUCCAAUAAGGCAUUGUGCUGCCUGGAAAAGAAGACAAACAAUCAGUUGCUCUUUAAGUUGCGAUAAAAGGGAGACGCAACACCUCCCUGCAAAGCUACAUCCAAA